CCUAGUAACAGCUGUACAGGGGGAGUCAACUCCUCUACACACACCAAGAGGUAUUUAGAGAUGUUUACAUGACAUAGCCUAGUAACAGCAGUACAGGGGGAGUCAACUCCUCUACACACACCAAGAGGUAUUUAGAGAUGUUGACAUGACAUAGCCUAGUAACAGCAGUACAGGAGGAGUCAACUCCUCUAUACACACCAAGAGGUAUUUAGAGAUGUUUACAUGACAUAGCCUAGUAACAGCUGUACAGGAGGAGUCAACUCCUCUAUACACACCAAGAGGUAUUUAGAGAUGUUUACAUGACAUAGCCUAGUAACAGCUGUACAGGGGGAGUCAACUCCUCUAUACACACCAAGAGGUAUUUAGAGAUGUUUACAUGACAUAGCCUAGUAACAGCAGUACAGGAGGAGUCAACUCCUCUAUACACACCAAACACACGCCUGAUAGUAGAUUGACAGGCUAGUGAUUUAGCUGUUCGUUACUCAUCUUGUUGGCUAGUGAUUUAGCUGUUCGUUUAUCAUCUUG